CAGUCGCCGCGGGAAUACAGAGGGUGCGAGCGUUAAUCGGAUUUACUGGGCGUAAAGCGUGCGUAGGCGGCUUCUUAAGUCGGAUGUGAAAUCCCUGAGCUUAACUUAGGAAUUGCAUUCGAUACUGGGAAGCUAGAGUAUGGGAGAGGAUGGUAGAAUUCCAGGUGUAGCGGUGAAAUGCGUAGAGAUCUGGAGGAAUACCGAUGGCGAAGGCAGCCAUCUGGCCUAAUACUGACACUGAGGUACGAAAGCAUGGGGAGCAAACAGGAUUAGAUACCCGCGUAGUCCCUGUCUCUUAUAA
rnacentral:rRNA from 1 species